GCUCCGGUGGCGUAGUGGUCAAAGUGUCCGCCUCGGAUGAAGUAGGUCGCGGGUUCGAACCCCGGCUGAGUCA